CAUGCAGGAAAAAGUCGAGCUUGCUUAGGUACUCAAUCAUCUUGAUCAUGUACAAUACAUGAUCAGUGACUGAUGCUCCUUCCCUCAUUCGAGCAUUGAAGAUGGCACAACUAGUCUUAUUCCUCUCAACAUCGUCAAGUGUGCCAAAGGAUUCGUUCCACAUUUGCAACAUGUCCUAUGGCUGAGUAUCCUCGAAAUAAUGGUUAAACUCAUCAUUCAUCACCACCAGCAUAAUACAACAAACCAUAAUUCGAUUAUUGAGCCACUUCUGAUAAGUGUCUCUGAUCAAGCUA
rnacentral:lncRNA from 1 species